rnacentral:rRNA from 1 species
GAUCCUGGCUCAGGAUGAACGCUAGCUACAGGCUUAACACAUGCAAGUCGAGGGGCAUCAGGAAGAAAGCUUGCUUUCUUUGCUGGCGACCGGCGCACGGGUGAGUAACACGUAUCCAACCUGCCGAUGACUCGGGGAUAGCCUUUCGAAAGAAAGAUUAAUACCCGAUGGCAUAUCUGAAAGGCAUCUUUCAGCUAUUAAAGAAUUUCGGUCAUUGAUGGGGAUGCGUUCCA